rnacentral:rRNA from 1 species
UACGUAGGGCGCAAGCGUUGUCCGGAAUUAUUGGGCGUAAAGAGCUCGUAGGCGGCUUGUCACGUCGGAUGUGAAAGCCCGGGGCUUAACCCCGGGUCUGCAUUCGAUACGGGCUAGCUAGAGUGUGGUAGGGGAGAUCGGAAUGCCUGGUGUAGUGGUGAAAUGCGUAGAGAUCAGGCGGAACACCCGUGGCGAAGGCGGCCCCGCUGGGCAGGAAGGCUCGCAAGAGCCGGCUGACGCUGAGGCGCGACAGCGUGGGGGAGCAAACAGG